rnacentral:rRNA from 1 species
UACGAAGGGGGCUAGCGUUGUUCGGAAUUACUGGGCGUAAAGGGCGCGUAGGCGGUGUGUCAAGUCAGGCGUGAAAUCCCGGGGCUCAACCUCGGAACUGCCUUUGAUACUGCAAAUCUCGAGUCCGGAAGAGGUGAGUGGAAUUCCUAGUGUAGAGGUGAAAUUCGUAGAUAUUAGGAAGAACACCAGUGGCGAAGGCGGCUCACUGGUCCGGUACUGACGCUGAGGUGCGAAAGCGUGGGGAGCAAACAGG